UCUGAGGCCCGCCCACUUCCUGGUCGCCUCACUUCCUCCUUCCCACCGUUGCUGGUGCAGACGUCGGAUUGUCGGACACCGUGCCGAUGUAACCGCUCACGGGGAAUCUCCGUUCCGGCGCACGUGGCUUAUUGGCGGCCGCGGUUUGCAACCGCAGCCAUCUGAGCGUGAAGCUCUCCUCUCCUCUCCCGCAUGCGGUCUGACGCAGCCUGAUCGGUGCUGGAAGCUUACGGUGAUGGUCUUGGUGCCCUGGUGGUGGUGUCCCCUUUUGUGUGCUGUGCAACCCCCGGUUUUCAUUUGGUUUCCCCGUUGUGUGUUUGCGUGUGUGAGUGACACGAGUGACUGGGGUGCUCCUUUUCCUGGGAUUCCUCUCGCCUCCUCAUUGCCCCAUUCCCCUCCACUGGUAAGCUCCAGCCCUGUUAGUGUCCUCCCUUCCCUUCACA